UUAAAUCCAGUUUGUGUUUACUUCAGGGAGAUCAAGAGUGGAGAAGCAGCUGGUGAAGCAGAAAAAAAUAGUUUUGUGCAAUUUGUAGUAAUUUAAUUAGCUUUUUCUAAUUGUACUUACUUGCUGGAGGUGAUAAUUGUGUGGCAUGUCUAAAGUUGGCUAUGAGAUGAAUUCAUCGGAUGCAUCGUCGCCUGAAACAAAAUCAAAGGUAUCUGAGGUGAAAAAGAAAAAGCACAAGAAGCAUAAGAAGCACAAAAAGUCCGGAAAGAGUGACCGUGUUGAGAAGGUGAAGAAGCAUAAGAAGCACAAAAAACGACGAAAAGAGGAUGAAAAUGAACAGGAGGCUGUUCCUAUUGUUGUACUGGAUGACGAACCGGUGCACAAGAAGCUUCUGGUGGAAAAAUCCAAUGGACAUCCGGCGGCAAAAGGUAAGAAAAUCAGCAAGAUUCCUACUGAUCCCUCCAAGUUGGUGGAAAUCAUUACAAAAAGUUUAGAUCCGACAUCUGGACCGGCUUUAGAAAUUGUCUCAUCGGAAUCUGACGACACAGAAGGUUUGGUGGAGGAUUGUGCUAGUCCGGAUGUUGCAGUAAUCGAAGAUGAUCUGAACUUGGAGGAGUUGAUGAAGCAGAAGGCGCUGCUGCAGGCUCGUCUUGGUGCCUAUCUGUCAGACUCAGAUGAUGAACAUAUUAGUAAGGCACAAAGUGGUGAGAAAGAUGGUAAAAGCAAAACAGAAUCAGAUGUCAUUUUAUUGGACGAUUCCAGUGGUGAAGCGAUCGUGAAGGUCGACAGUGCCAACAAAAGGCAUCGGAGUCGGUCGCAAAGCCACACACUCAAAUCCACUGACAAUCAUCGUCGCGGGCGCGAUGAUAGGCUCAAUGACAUGGGUAGGAGGCGUGAUCGCCAGGACAGUGACAGGAGUCGCAGCCGGCGUGAAAAUGAAAAUCGCCAUAAGGAGGAUUUGAGGCGAGAACUGGAACGGGAUAGGGAGCGAUCUUUUCGCGAACGCGAACGUGCUAAGCGUCACGAGAGGCAAGAUAUGGAACGCAAUCUUCAGCGUGAUCGAUCACGAAAUCGUGAUCAGUAUUCGGUGCGCAGGGGCAGGAGUUACGACAGAAUGGGACGCGAGAGGACGCCUGAACGAUUCAGAAAUCGGCAGUUAGGACGAGAUAAGGGGCGUGAUCGGCAUGAGAAGGAAGAAGUAAAGGACAAAUACAAAGACUCACUGAGUGAGGGUCAGACUCAUCCAAAGAAUCGAAAGGAUUCAAGUAGCGAGAGUGAGAUUGUAGACAUUGACAUCAAAGACGACGAUGAGGAUGAGGAAAAGAUCAUUGAACAGAGACGAAAACGUCGUGAGGAGCUACUUAAGAAAUUAGGAGCAGUUAGUGAGGAUAGCAAUCAAGCAUUAACUUCGCGUGAGCCUUCAGUGAGUCAUACCAUUGAGAGAAGAACAACACCAAAAAUUACAACUGUUCCAGAGUCGUCUCCCAUGAAGAAUAAAUUCGUGGAACCAGAUGCAACUCCGAAGGUUGCUCCAAUGGAAACUCCUGACAAGGCUGAAGUAGAGGAUUCUCUAACGCCUCCUAUACCGGCCUCAAGAAAGGAUCUACAGGCGAUAAUACAGGAGAAGAAGCACACGAUAGUUGUGGGCAAUAAAGUAGUCAAUCGACCAGCUAAGGAUAACAAUGCCAAAAAAGGAGAAUGGGAUAUGUUUGCAGAGCAGGAUAUUGCAUCAAACUACGAUUCUCCCAGCACCAUUGUGGCCAGUAAGCAGAUCCAAGACAAUCCAGCCCUUACAGACAAUUGGGAUGAUGCAGAGGGUUACUAUCGUGUGAGAAUUGGAGAAAUUUUGGACAAUCGCUAUGUUGUGUCUAGUUAUACUGGACAAGGUGUUUUCAGCAAUGUUGUUCGGGCACGGGAUCAAGCCAGAGGAAAUGUCAAUGUUGCCGUGAAGAUCAUCAGAAAUAAUGAAAUCAUGCAUAAGACCGGCCUUCGUGAGUUGGAGAUUCUGAAGAAGCUCAAUGAUUCUGAUCCUGAGGAUCGAUUUCACUGCUUACGCCUGUUUAGGCACUUUUUCCACAAGCAGCAUCUCUGUAUGGUUCUUGAGCCACUCUCAAUGAAUCUCAGGGAGGUGCUGAAGAAAUAUGGAAAAAAUGUGGGUCUUCAUAUUAAAGCAGUUCGAAGUUAUACUCAACAACUCCUGCUAUCUCUAAAACUACUUAAGAAAACGGGCAUUCUCCAUGCUGAUAUAAAGCCAGACAAUAUUUUGGUGAAUGAAAGUCAUCUAAUUCUGAAACUUUGUGACUUUGGAUCAGCAUCUGUUAUAACAGAUAAUGAGAUAACACCUUAUCUGGUGUCAAGAUUUUACAGAGCCCCUGAGAUCAUUCUCGGCAUUCAGUAUGAUUAUGGAAUUGAUAUGUGGUCAGCAGGAUGCACGAUCUAUGAAUUGUACACAGGUAAAAUUCUCUUCAGUGGCAAGUCGAACAAUCAAAUGCUGAAGUUCUUCAUGGAUCUCAAGGGAAAGUUUCCCAAUAAAGUCAUUCGAAGAGGACAGUUUAGAGAUCAGCACUUUGACCAGAAUUGCAAUUUUCUCUAUCAUGAGAUAGAUAAAAUAACAGAAAGGGAAAAGAUCGUAGUGCAAUCUGUCAUAAAACCCACACGCGAUCUACAGCAGGAGUUGAUUGCUGACCAAAAUUUGCCGGAUGAUCAACAUAGGAAGGUGACACAAUUGAAGGAUCUCUUGGAGAAGCUGUUUGUUUUGGAUCCUGCUAAGAGAAUAUCUCUGAAUCAGGCAUUAGCACAUCCCUUUAUUCAAGAUAAGAUGUGAAAAAAAUAUAGCAUUUUUUGGAGAGACCUUCGAUUACCUUCCGGAUGGGUUUAAUUGUGUGUGACUUAAGUGUCGAUCCCGAUUAAGAGAUUAACGUUUGAGACAUCAUCAAGGAUUAACUCAAAUAAGGAUUUUUAGGAUUUGAAAAUCGGCCAAUUACGUUCAGCUCGUGCAUUGGAUCUCGGGUUUUCCUUUUAGAAUCCUUACUGGAGAGUAGAUUUGACAUAAUUUAUUCCGGAAGGAUGUGAUUUUCGAGCGGUAAUUCAAUGAUAUUCUUGAUAGACUGACAUUCCUGGAGGGUAGGAAGUGACUGUUGCUGUGUACUUCUAAGUUCAAUCUUUACUUGUUUGCAUUUCCAGUUAUUGGGUCCGGUCGAAGGAUCUUGAACUAGGCCAAAGGCACUUUCAAAUAUCCCAACCCACCGAUUGGUCACAUGAAGGGUACCACAGCAGACCACGAAGACCAAUCCAUGGGGAUUUAUUCGUCCUUGAACUCCAGAGUGAUUGAUAUUGGGGUUAAAUGUGAAGUUAUAGUUGUUUCUCGUAGUGAUGAGUUUUUCCAAGACUGCCUCACUACCAUGGGCAUUCUCAUCCGAUACCAUGUCAUUUUGGACCAAUCUUAUGGCACACGAUGCAUCUGGCCAGAGAUCAUCAAGUGCUAGGGUGGUUUCAUUGAGUUUCCGGAAGAACCAUGAUGCAAAUUGUCGAGAUAGAACAUUAACAGGGAAGUCUUCAACAGCAACUGCUGCCACUUUUUCCGGCUGCGUAGGACUAGGUGAAAUUUCUAUGGCUUGUGCAAUACCUGAGGAAACUGGUUUAUCUUGCCAAAAACGAAUUAUUCGUUGAA